UUAAUUUGUUUGUUUUAAACUCGAAACUGCGUCUCACAUAUUUUUGCUAGAUAUCAGAAAAGUGACAUGCGCAGAAGAGUCACAACGACAAUAACAACAAACGCCGAAUUUCCAUAACGAAAUGGCUAACGAAAUUGCAUAACAAAUAGCCAUUCUGGAUUGUGACCUGCUGCUCCAUGGUUGUGGACAUAAAACUCUCGACAGGUUUGAUAUAGAGACUGUUUCAGAUGAGUUCCUAUUAACAUCAUUUGGAUUCCCUCGAGAUUUCAUCUACUACUUGGUGGAGCUACUGCGUGACACUUUAGGAUUCUAUACCUCAGGAUCCUUCCAGACGAGGAUGGGAGAUGCCAUUGGCAUUCGCCAGGCUUCCAUGAGUCGCUGUAUGACAAAUGCAACCAAGGCAAUGGUUGAGAAAGCUCCAGAGUGCAUAGGAUUCAUGAGAGAGGAAGCCACAAAACAGCAGUCCAAAGAGGAGUUUUUCAGGGUAGCAGGAAUUACCUAAUGUCAUGGGGGUUGUAGACUGCCCAUAUAGCCAUUAAGGCACCCAAUGCCGAUGAUUCUUCAUCUGCCAAUAAGAAAGGCUUCCAUUCAAGAAACUGUCAACUUGUGUGUGAUGCCAGGGGACUUUUGCUCAGUGCAGAGACUAACUGGCCCGGCAGUUUACAGGAUAACUGCAUAUUUCAAGAGUCUUCAGUGUACAAGGAAUUGGAAGAGCAGGAAAAUCACGAAGGCUGGUUAUUAGGAGACUGCCACUAUCCUUUAAAGAAAUGGCUGAUGACACCUGUCUAGUACCCAGAAACUUCAGCAGACUUUCGAUACAACCUGGCUCACACUGCCACUCAUAAGAUGGACCGCACAUGGACCGCACAUUCAGGGCCAUUCAAACUCAUUUCCGUUGCCUGGAUGGGUCCAAAGGCUACCUUCAGUACUCACCUGAGAAGUGCUCUCACAUCAUUCUGGCCUGCUGCGUCUUGCACAACGUGUCAUUGCAAUCAGGCUUGGAUGCCUGGACAUUUGAGAGGACUGAUAUACCAGGCCAGUCAGACAACGGCAGUCGAAAGCCAGAGGCUGUGGACUCUGAGGCAGUCCGAAUCUGCCAGGAGCUCAUUCUUAGUCACUUCAGCUAGGUCUGCAUGCUCAGAAUCAACAGGGAAAACACUAUGUUUCACAGAGCCUGUGCCUGCAAUAGAGAAGUGGUUGACACCAGAUUCUGUAUAAGCAGAAAGAAAGAUGAUUUUGUGACUAAUAUAGGUUUUAGUAGGUGUAGAUGUACAGUUUCAGAAAGUAUUCAUACACCUUGACUAAUUCCACAUUUUGUUGUUGGAUUAAAUGUAUUAUUUUUCUCACCCAUCUACACACAAUACCCCCUAAUGGCAAAGUGAAAACAUGUUUUUAGACAUGUUUGCAAAUGUAUUGAUAAUUAAAUGUGUAUCCUAAAAACCUCUAGUCCUUUCUGAUGACAAGCAUACCCAUAACAUGAUGCAGCCAACACCAUGCUUGAAAAUAUGGUGGUACUCAGUGAUGUGUUGUGAUGGAUUUGUAUGUAUAUGUAAAAUGUAUGUAUAUGUAGCAGAAAAGCUGUAAAAAAAAAAAAAUGUUUUAUUUCUCCUCCAAAGAGGGGUGGUGGUGGAGGGGUUAAUACAUGUUUGUUUUUUUAAGCCCUAAUAGCAGACACAUUUCUCAACAUGCUCACAACAUGCAAUUGGAUCCAAAUUAUAAACAUUUGGAUACAGGGGGAAAAAAAUGGUGCAAGUCAAAUUCUACUCAAAUACUUGUAUUUGGCGGGUUGUGAGCAUGUUGAGAGAUGUGUCCGUUCUUAGGGCUUGAUUCAAUCAGAUUUUUUUAAAGUGCAUGUUUUGGAUUAUUUGUAUUCUGUACAGGCUUCCUUCUUUUCAUUCUGUCAUUUAGCUUAGUAACUACAAUGUGUUCGAUCCAUCCUCAGUUUUCUCCUAUCACAGCCAUUAAACUCUCUUAAAGUCACCAUUAGUCUCACGGUGAAAACCCUGAGCGGUUUCCUUCCGAUCCAGUAAACUGAGUUAGGAAGGACACCUGUAUCUUUUUAAAAAUUGAACUUUUAUGUAACUAGGCAAGUCAGUUAAGAAUACUGAGCUCAGCACGCACUGAGCCCCAAUUGCGCGCCGCCCCAAUGGGACUCCCAAUAACGUCCGGUUGUGAUACAGUCUGGGAUCAAACCAGGGUCUGUAGUGAUGCCUCUAGCACUGAGAUGCAGUGCCUUAGACCGCUGCACCACUCAGGAGUGACAGUGUAUUGAUGCACCAUCCAAAGUGUACAGUGCCUUGCGAAAGUAUUCGGCCCCCUUGAACUUUGCGACCUUUUUCCACAUUUCAGGCUUCAAACAUCAAGAUAUAAAACUGUAUUUUUUUGUGAAGAAUCAACAACAAGUGGGACACAAUCAUGAAGUGGAACGACAUUUAUUGGAUAUUUCAAACUUUUUUAACAAAUAAAAAACUGA